rfam:Eikenella corrodens ATCC 23834 Scfld0 genomic scaffold, whole genome shotgun sequence.
GCAGCAGGCCAGACAGUCGCCGCGCCUUUGGGUGGGGAGGAAAGUCCGGGCUGCACAGAGCAGGAUGCCGGCUAACGGCCGGGCGCCGCGAGGCGACGGAAAGUGGAACAGAAAGCAUAACCGCCGAUGGCUGUGGCAACACGGCACAGGUAAGGGUGAAAUGGUGCGGUAAGAGCGCACCGUGCGGCUGGUAACAGUCCGUAGCAGGCUAAACCCCAUCCGCAGCAAGACCAAACAGAAUGCAACGACGCUGCUCGCCGAGCAUUCGGGUAGGUUGCUUGAGCCGCUUGGUAACAAUCGGCCUAGAGGAAUGACUGUCCAACGACAGAACCCGGCUUACCGGCCGGCUGCGGUA